CCUACGGGAGGCAGCAGUAGGGAAUCUUCCGCAAUGGACGAAAGUCUGACGGAGCAACGCCGCGUGAGUGAUGAAGGCUUUCGGGUCGUAAAGCUCUGUUGUUAGGGAAGAACAAGUGCUAGUUGAAUAAGCUGGCACCUUGACGGUACCUAACCAGAAAGCCACGGCUAACUACGUGCCAGCAGCCGCGGUAAUACGUAGGUGGCAAGCGUUGUCCGGAAUUAUUGGGCGUAAAGCGCGCGCAGGCGGUUUCUUAAGUCUGAUGUGAAAGCCCCCGGCUCAACCGGGGAGGGUCAUUGGAAACUGGGAAACUUGAGUGCAGAAGAGGAAAGUGGAAUUCCAAGUGUAGCGGUGAAAUGCGUAGAGAUUUGGAGGAACACCAGUGGCGAAGGCGACUUUCUGGUCUGUAACUGACGCUGAGGCGCGAAAGCGUGGGGAGCAAACAGGAUUAGAUACCCUGGUAGUCCACGCUGUAAACGAUGAGUGCUAAGUGUUAGAGGGUUUCCGCCCUUUAGUGCUGAAGUUAACGCAUUAAGCACUCCGCCUGGGGAGUACGGCCGCAAGGCUGAAACUCAAAGGAAUUGACAAUCGG
rnacentral:rRNA from 1 species